UACGUAGGGGGCAAGCGUUGUCCGGAUUUAUUGGGCGUAAAGCGCGCGUAGGCGGCCUCAUAAGUCCGUUGUGAAAGUCAAAGGCUCAACCUUUGAAAGCCGAUGGAUACUGUGAGGCUAGAGUCCGGAAGAGGCGAGUGGAAUUCCUGGUGUAGCGGUGGAAUGCGCAGAUAUCAGGAGGAACACCAAUAGCGAAGGCAGCUCGCUGGGACGGUACUGACGCUAAGGCGCGAAAGCGUGGGGAGCGAACAGG
rnacentral:rRNA from 1 species